UUAGAAUAAAAUUUUGCAGAUUUGUUCUUGUGCUGUUCUCAAUUGAGUAUCUGGUUCAUUAUAUUGAUUUUAUAUUUAUACUUUCAGGACCAUUUCACACUUAUCUGGUGCAGAAGUAUUCAAACUGGAAUUUUUUUGGCUUUUAGUGAAGUAAAUGGUUUGCAUUUUGUUCCGUGGGUUGAAGAUGAACUCGUGAUAUCACUUUCAGGCUCCUUUUAUUGCUGAGAGGUAGCAAAACAAACUUCGCUAGCGGGUAUGGAGGCAGGAAAAUGUUGUGUAGUAUUUCCGGAGUGUCACUUUUCUUGAUACUUCUGAUGUCGAUGGACCUUACACUAAUGAAAUUCUUCUGGGCAAGGCUCUUAAAGGAGGGAUUAGAGAGAGGAUGGAGUUGGCUACUAAAUUUGGUAUAGUUUUUGAAGAUGGUAACAGAGAGUUUAAAGGUGAUCCAGCUUAUGUUAGAGGUGCUUGUGAGGCUAGCUUGAAGCGUCUUGAAGUUGGUUCUAUUGAUCUUUAUUAUCAACAUGGAAUUGAUACGUCUAUUCCCAUUGAAAUUAAGAUUGAAUAAAUUUAAGGAUGGAGGCGGUUUUUUUAGCCAUCUACAACUACUUAGGAUUUGAAAGGGAAAAAGAGAGCGGUUUUGAGAAAAGAGAAAUUUGAACGAGGUCCCUCACACAUUUGUUGAUAUUCGUAAGUUUUAUGUUCAUUAUUUAUAGUGGACUACUAUUCGCCGCCCAAAAUUACUACCCACCGCCCAACUGUUUACCAAGAUACCCCUAAACUAUUUUCAGUUUAAAAAAAAACUCAAUCCUCUCAACUCAACUAAAAACCCAACGAAUAUCCGGGCGGAUUUAUAAUAAAAAUGUUAAAAUCCACUAAAAAUAGAGAACAAAAAUUUCUAAUAAUUAAUCGGCUUUUAAUUUUUUAAAUUUUUUUAAUUUUUUUUUUUUGAAAUGGGCCAUCGCCCUAAAAUGGCGAUGGCCCAACGGACCAUCGCCCCUUGAGAUGGCGAUGGUCCAUUGGGCCAUCGCCAUUUCAAGGUGAUGGCCAUUAAAAAAAAAUAAAAAAUUUUUUAAAAAUUUUAAAACGAAAAAAAUUAAAAACCGAUUAAUUAUUAAAAGUUUUCGUUUUCUAUUUUUAGUCGAUUCUAAUAUUUUUAUUAUAAAUCCGCUCGGAUAUUCGUUGGGUUUUUAGUUGAGUUGAGAGGAUUGAAUUUUUUUUUAAACUGAAAAUGGCUUAAGGGUAUCUUGGUAAAAACUGGGCGGUGGAUAGUAAUUUUGGGCAGCGAAUAGUAAAACCCUUAUUUAUAUUAUAUAUAGAAAUACGGAUGGGGCUGGGGAUGGGAAGAGAAAUAGGCAUAUUUAUGUCAAUGUUUUUUUUAUUUUAUAAAAUAUAUUUAUUAAUUAAAGAACUAUUGAGAUAA